CAAUGGAUUAACAAAAAUAAGGAUGUGAACCUAAUUUUCCCAUUAGAUAAUUUAGUAAAAAGAAAACUCAUGAAAAUGAUUUGAAAACUUUGAGUUUUAAUCAAAAUGACAAAAAAAUGUUGUAAGUAAAUAGUACCAGGAGUGACUUUUUAGAGUAAAAAUGUUAUUUUCGUUAAAAUGAACAGUAUUGAAAAUGUUUCGUUAAAACUUCCCAUUGGAAAAAGGCUUUGUUUUAUGGAGGUG
rnacentral:lncRNA from 1 species